CAAGUCGAGGGGUAUAGUUCUUCGGAACUAGAGACCGGCGCACGGGUGCGGUAACGCGUAUGCAAUCUACCUUUUACAGAGGGAUAGCCCAGAGAAAUUUGGAUUAAUACCUCAUAGUAUCUUCGAGUGGCAUCACUUGAUUAUUAAAGUUCCAACGGUAAAAGAUGAGCAUGCGUCCCAUUAGCUAGAUGGUAAGGUAACGGCUUACCAUGGCAACGAUGGGUAGGGGUCCUGAGAGGGAGAUCCCCCACACUGGUACUGAGACACGGACCAGACUCCUACGGGAGGCAGCAGUGAGGAAUAUUGGUCAAUGGGCGCAAGCCUGAACCAGCCAUGCCGCGUGCAGGAUGACGGUCCUAUGGAUUGUAAACUGCUUUUAUACGAGAAGAAACACUCCUUCGUGAAGGAGCUUGACGGUAUCGUAAGAAUAAGGAUCGGCUAACUCCGUGCCAGCAGCCGCGGUAAUACGGAGGAUCCAAGCGUUAUCCGGAAUCAUUGGGUUUAAAGGGUCCGUAGGCGGUUAGAUAAGUCAGUGGCGAAAGCCCAUCGCUCAACGGUGGAACGGCCAUUGAUACUGUUUAACUUGAAUUAUUAGGAAGUAACUAGAAUAUGUAGUGUAGCGGUGAAAUGCUUAGAGAUUACAUGGAAUACCAAUUGCGAGGGCAGGUUACUACUAAUGGAUUGACGCUGAUGGACGAAAGCGUGGGUAGCGAACAGGAUUAGAUACCCUGGUAGUCCACGCCGUAAACGAUGGAUACUAGCUGUUGGGAGCAAUCUCAGUGGCUAAGCGAAAGUGAUAAGUAUCCCACCUGGGGAGUACGUUCGCAAGAAUGAAACUCA
rnacentral:rRNA from 1 species